AGAGCUGGAAACUCAGAACCAAGGUCUGCCUUCACGCUAGAAGUAAGACGCUGAAGCAGUUAUCGGACUCUGCUGAACAAAACAAUCUCUGGACCCAACAGUUCCUCCCUCAAGGCUUUAUCAGGACUCCUCAAGACUCCAGUGAACCAGCCCCCAGGCCUGAACCAGUACCAGUGUUAUUUCCAUGUGCUUCGAGAAACAAUAAACCUGUUAAACUUUUA